GAUGAACGCUAGCUGCAGGCUUAACACAUGCAAGUCGAGGGGAAACGGCAUUGAGUGCUUGCACUCUUUGGACGUCGACCGGCGCACGGGUGAGUAACGCGUAUCCAACCUUCCCAUUACUGUGGGAUAACCUGCCGAAAGGCAGACUAAUACCGCAUAGUCUUCGAUGACGGCAUCAGAUUUGAAGUAAAGAUUUAUCGGUAAUGGAUGGGGAUGCGUCUGAUUAGCUUGUUGGCGGGGUAACGGCCCACCAAGGCUACGAUCAGUAGGGGUUCUGAGAGGAAGGUCCCCCACAUUGGAACUGAGACACGGUCCAAACUCCUACGGGAGGCAGCAGUGAGGAAUAUUGGUCAAUGGACGGAAGUCUGAACCAGCCAAGUAGCGUGCAGGAUGACGGCCCUAUGGGUUGUAAACUGCUUUUGUAUGGGGAUAAAGUUAGGGACGUGUCCCUAUUUGCAGGUACCAUACGAAUAAGGACCGGCUAAUUCCGUG
rnacentral:rRNA from 1 species